UCAAUAAGCGGAGGAAAAGAAACUAACAAGGAUUCCCCUAGUAACUGCGAGUGAAGCGGGAUGAGCUCAAAUUUAAAAUCUGGCGGCUUUGCCGUCCGAGUUGUAAUCUGGAGAAGCGUUUUCCGCGUCGGACCGUGUACAAGUCUCUUGGAACAGAGCUUCAUAGAGGGUGAGAAUCCCGUCCAUGACACGGACCGCCGAUGCUUUGUGAUACGCUCUCGAAGAGUCGAGUUGUUUGGGAAUGCAGCUCAAAAUGGGUGGUAAAUUCCAUCUAAAGCUAAAUAUUGGCGAGAGACCGAUAGCGAACAAGUACCGUGAGGGAAAGAUGAAAAGCACUUUGGAAAGAGAGUAAAACAGUACGUGAAAUUGUUGAAAGGGAAACGCUUGAAGUCAGUCGCGUUUGCCGGGACUCAGCCUUGCUUCUGCUCGGUGUACUUCCCGGUAGACGGGUCAACAUCGAUUUUGGCCGACGGAUAAAGGGGUUGGGAAUGUGGCACUCUUCGGGGUGUGUUAUAGCCCUUCUUCCGCAUACGCCGGCCGGGAUCGAGGACCGCAGCGCGCCUUAAUGGCCGGGGGCUCGCCCCACGUUACGCGCUUAGGAUGUUGGSRUAAUGGCUUUAAGCGACC
rnacentral:rRNA from 1 species